GAUGAACGCUGGCGGCGUGCCUAAUACAUGCAAGUCGAGCGAACAGACGAGGAGCUUGCUCCUCUGACGUUAGCGGCGGACGGGUGAGUAACACGUGGAUAACCUACCUAUAAGACUGGGAUAACUUCGGGAAACCGGAGAUAAUACCGGAUAAUAUAUUGAACCGCAUGGUUCAAUAGUGAAAGACGGUUUUGCUGUCACUUAUAGAUGGAUCCGCGCCGCAUUAGCUAGUUGGUAAGGUAACGGCUUACCAAGGCGACGAUGCGUAGCCGACCUGAGAGGGUGAUCGGCCACCCUGGAGCGGAGACACGGUCCAGACUCCUACGGGAGGCAGCAGUAGGGAAUCUUCCGCAAUGGGCGAAAGCCUGGCGGAGCAACGCCGCGUGAGUGAUGAAGGUCUUCGGAUCGUAAAACUCUGUUAUUAGGGAAGAACAAAUGUGUAAGUAACUAUGCACGUCUUGACGGUACCUAAUCAGAAAGCCACGGCUAACUACGUG
rnacentral:rRNA from 1 species